AUGAAGGACCACGAUGCCAUCAAGCUGUUCGUCGGCCAGAUCCCCCGCAACCUGGAAGAGAAGGACCUCAAGCCCCUCUUCGAGGAGUUCGGCAAGAUCUACGAGCUGACCGUGCUGAAGGACAGGUUCACCGGCAUGCACAAAGGGUGUGCCUUCCUCACCUACUGUGCCCGGGAUUCUGCCCUGAAAGCUCAGAGUGCGCUGCAUGAGCAGAAGACACUGCCAGGGAUGAACCGUCCGAUCCAGGUGAAGCCAGCAGACAGCGAGGGUCGAGGAGAAGAUAGGAAGCUCUUUGUGGGGAUGUUGGGGAAGCAGCAGAGUGAGGAUGACGUCAGGCGGCUGUUUGAGCCCUUCGGACAGAUCGAAGAAUGCACCAUCCUCAGAGGCCCUGAUGGAGCCAGCAAAGGCUGUGCUUUUGUAAAGUACGGAAGCCACGCAGAAGCCCAAGCAGCUAUCAACAGCCUGCACGGCAGCCAGACUAUGCCAGGAGCGUCCUCCAGCCUCGUAGUGAAGUUUGCAGACACGGACAAAGAGAGAACUCUGAGGCGAAUGCAUCAGAUGGCGGGGCAGCUGGGCAUCUUCAACCCAAUGACGAUCCAGUUUGGAGCCUAUGGGGCGUACACACAAGCGAUACUGCAGCAGCAGGCAGCUCUGAUGGCUGCAGCACAAGGGACCUGCCUGAACCCCAUGGCGGCCAUCGCCGCUGCUCAAAUGCAGCAGAUGGCGGCCUUUAAUGUCAGCGGCCUAGUGGCCGCACCCAUGACGCCUUCAUCAGGUACAAGCACACCUCCAGGAAUCAGCACCGCCACGGUCCCCAGCAUAGCCACGCCCAUUGGUGUCAAUGGAUUCAGUCCCCUCCCUCCCCAAACUAAUGGGCAACCAGCAUCAGAGACCAUCUAUGCCAAUGGCAUCCACCCAUACCCAGCUCAAAGCCCCAGUGUGGCUGACCCUCUCCAGCAGGCCUACGCGGGCAUGCAGCACUAUGCAGCAGCAUACCCAGCCGCCUAUGCACCAAUCAGCCAAGCCUUUCCCCAGCAAGCCCCAAUCAUUCCACAGCAGCAGAGAGAAGGUCCCGAAGGCUGUAACCUGUUUAUUUAUCACCUGCCCCAGGAGUUCGGAGAUGCCGAGCUCAUGCAGAUGUUCUUGCCUUUUGGCAAUGUCAUCUCUGCCAAAGUCUUUGUUGAUCGUGCCACCAACCAGAGUAAAUGCUUUGGUUUUGUCAGUUUUGACAAUCCAACUAGUGCUCAGGCAGCCAUACAGGCCAUGAACGGCUUCCAGAUCGGCAUGAAGAGGCUAAAGGUUCAACUAAAGCGGCCAAAAGAUGCUAACAGACCCUACUGACCCCUGUUCACCCUGGCCCUGCAAACAGACCAGGCCAAUCAUAGCUCCAAGAUGGCCCCACAGUUGCUCUCUAGCUGUUAUGGGAGACCAAAAAAAAACCCUAUCCCUCCCCAAAUAAACCGAAACUGUUGGAUGUCCUGCAGUUUAAGAAGAGUAUUUCCCUUUUCCCAAGUGCAGUAUCCAAACUUGUAACUCUCUUUCUUUGCAACAUAUCACUACGGAGGAGGAAACUAUUGGCGGCAAGAGAGAGAGCGAGUCAUCUGGUUGUGUGGUGGUGUUUUGUUUUUUGGGUUUUUUUUAAAUUCCGAAUCAAUUUUGCUUUUUUUUUCUUACAAACAAAAAACAACAAGAAAAAAAAAACAAACGAAAAGAGAAGAAAGAGAGGAAAUGAAGUUGGAUGAAGGGACGUGGGAGAACGUUGCUGGGAGGAGAGGUUCCCAGGGGCGGUGACUGUGGGAAGACUUUCUAUUCCUCGGGUCGGACAACGGCCGCCGUUCGGGAAAAGGAAAGCGAACCCAAUCCCGAGUCGAAUGGAACGUCCGAGAGAGGCCUGGAGCCGAAAACCUACCUUUCGAAGCAUUUGUUUGCUGCUACUGUUUCAGAGGAGGACCUGGGUCAGAGGUUUGACAUGGAUUUAAACCAAAGCCAGUGAGAGAGGGUGAGGCUUGUAGGUCUUACCUGGAGAGCAGUUUUGUUUUAAAAGGAUAAAAAAGUGAAAUUUUUUCCAUACCUGGGUGGAAAAAGCAAAGGCUAGCAGGAUGUUGAACUUAUAAAGAUAUAUAUAGAUACAGAUAUAUAUAUCCCAUGGGGAGUAGGGAGGGGACUGACCCUCCCACCCAGCUUAUCACUGGCACAGGGAGAUGGAAUUUACUUCUUUCAAAGUCAUAUCAUUCCUUAGAGUUUAGGGACCAAAGGACUCUUGCUUUUUUUAAAAUAUAUAUAAAUAAAUUAAUUUAAAAAAACAAAAAAAAACACAAAAAAGAAAAAGGUACAGUAUCUGCUGAAGCUGCAAGCAUUUCAGAAACGGCAAAGAAAAUACCCCAAAAAGAGGGAAACCCCCCCCAACACCCCCUGAGAGGACUGAAGAUGCUCUAUUCGCAGGGGUCUGGAAUCCAGUGGCCCAGUGACUACGUGGGCUCUGGGAGAGGGUUAAGACUUGGAACAGUGGAAAUUUUUCUGUCUGAUAUUUCAUUCCCCGUCAACCCUUUCUCUACCCCUUUUUCCCUUUGCAAAAUAAAGUAGCUAAGGAUUGGGUUUAUGUGCAAGUGAUGGGAAAGUCACCUUAAUCCCUCUCCCUCCCACCAAACCUCCUAGGUAAUCUCACUCCAUCUAACUCUGUCUGACCUAAACAGCUGGCCCCAAAUUUCCAAACUAGCUAGCCCCGACCCUUGGCAAAAUUAGCUUAUGCCUCUGGGUCUCAAUAACAGGGAAAUGUAGCCAGAAUGGGCACACCUGGGCCUUAGACCGAGGUUCCACCCGCAACUCAAGGGGUCAUCCCUGUCCCCGGCAGGCUACAUCCUGGUAGGCCCUGUUGCUUUGAGGGCUGUGUGCCCUAAGGAUGGCUGGCAUCUGGUCUUCCUGAAGACCCCAGAAUGCCACCUGGACUGAGUAAAAGGCAACCCACCCCCGCAACAUAGAAGCCAAGUUUCCUAUUGUCCUGGGAACAGGGAAGCCAACGUGCAGUUGCAAAUAUGCAUCCAGACAGGAGUGGUUGGAAUGAAUCCUAGGGCCCCUUUGGGCAGAAAAGCAACCUAAGAGAAAAUUCCCCCUUGGUGUCCAAAUGGAGAAGCUCCAUCCCAGAUUGUUCCCCAUCAUAGCACUCCAAUCUGUCAUCCCAAUCUGUCGGGCUCGGGCCACUCCCUGGGGUGGGCAAUUGCUUCUCUUUCCCCUAACGCCAGCUAUCCCCUCCCUUCCUCCCUCCCUUGAGACCCACUGCUCUGCCUUCUCAAGGCCAAAUAGCCUUCUUCCUGGCAUCUGGAGUCCGGAGUGGGAAUAGGAGAAAAGUUGCAGGGAAGGGCAGGGGAGAUUGGCCCCAAACUCUCGUGUUUUUUAACCCAUCUUCAGCCUUCCAGCAGCAGCGGGUGGGGCAGAUGCCUUAGUCUGUGACAGGGCUUGGGGGAAACUUACCGCUCCCUGAGGUCUGCAGAGGCUUCAGGAGAGGCCCCUGUCAGGCAGCCUCAGAUUCUGGUUGUGCUGGUGGGGCCUCACCCCUCUCCACCUGAUGCUUUGUGGCGAAAGAGCAAGGGGUGGAGAUGAGGAGCCUGAAGGACACUGUUGAUAAUGCCCCCUUCCCCACCCACUCUGCUGGAUUCAGAUGAAGCGUCAUGGGCUGGAGGAGAAACAAGGGUGCCUGGGCUGCUCUCUGCUCUCUUUAUUCCCUCCCUUCACUGGACCACUGGCACCUGCCCCUUCUGUGACCCCUUGUCCUCUUUCCCCACGUUUCAGAGCAGAAUGCUGUUCUAAAGAGAGUUGGCACAUAACAUAGAGCUCUGCUGCAUUUGAAGACCCAAACCAACCCACAAAAAAGACAAUCGACUUUAGGGAGUCUGUGAAAGUGACUUUUUUUAACCAAAAAAACAAAAAUAAAGAAAAAAAAGGAAAAAUGCCCUGUGCCCGUGAAGAUCCUGGGCAGGACAGAAUCUGGGGUAAGAGCGGUUUCCACUUCCGCUCUCCAAAAGUCAAAAGCUGCCCAGAUUGUGGCAGCCUGGGAUCCAACUUCCACUUCACCCAGGGCAGGAGGGUCAGCGGGGUUCCCACCUGCCAACUCAACCCUGAGUUCAGCACGGCAGCCUUGCCCAUGAAAGUGGGCGGAGGACAGUCCUUGGCCUCGACUUUGAGAAUGGUUUUGCCAAUGUUGCUGGAGCUGGGGGUUGGUGCCCGCAUCCUGAGCACAGUUUUGCAACGCCUGGGAGCACAGAGUGGCCAUUCAUCCAGUUUUUAUCCUGGACAGUCCGGUUUUCAGCUGGUCUGUUCCCAGACUGGUUCCGCAAGGGGGGUGGCAAAGGGUGUACAGUAUUUUUGAGUACCGUCUGGGCUGGAAAUAUCGUUGACCCCUGCCCAGGAAGGAUCCUGAGAGAAGCAGCCCCCGGCUGGGUACGGCUGCUUCACCCUCUGGAUCCCUCCAAGGUGGGCGCCUUGCCUCCUGGACCAGUGUCUUUGGAUCGAUCGCUGACCAGCGCACCCUGGGCAGCAUCCCAGAGUCCUAUGGGUUCUGCAGAGGUCAUCUAGCCCAUGCCCCUGCCUCCAGACAAAGUCACCCCCUCACAAACAAUCCCAGAAAGAAAAGCAUCAAUUCCCUGUUUGAAAGGUUCCAGAAAAGGGAAUUUCACAAUGCCUUCUGGCCACCUAUCACAGCACCUCCCAGCCCUCCUGGGCAGGAAGGUUGUCCUUCUGCAGGAGACCGAGGGAACCAACAAGCCACCCCUGACUGGAAGCUUCAGAGGGGGCUUGGGGCGAUGGUCCAGCCAGGGAUCCCCUUCACCAGCCUGAUGCCCCUGGAACCCCUCAGCCUGGAGGGGUCCCCCCAGCUCAACUGCCCGCUUGCCCCCCUUCCACCACCCCACAGACGUCUACACAGCCUCCCUUCCUAAACUUGCCCUGAUUCUCUUCCUUGGCAGAGAGAGAGCCACGUUUGUUAGCAGAAUUGGGAUGCCAGGGGUUCUUAGAGAACGGUCCCUCAGAGGGAGAGACCCCCUCUGCCCUUCUGCACCACCCCUCCUCUCUGCCGAGGGCUGACCUAGGGAUAGCCCAGGGAGUCCUGUGGAAAACCAGUCCUGAUGGCAUCUGGCUACCUGCUCUGUCCUGGACUUGCCCCGUGGCCUUGUAUAUGUCACCUCACCUCUCUGUGCCUCAGUUUACCCAUCUGUAAAAUGGGUGAUGGACCGCUUCCUCCCCUCCUGUGGGUGUCUGUGAGGCUUUAUUCCUGUUUGCCAAGCGCUGAGGGAUUCCUGGGUGGAUCGUGUUAAAUACCGUAUAUUUUGGCAUGUGAGAUGAGGCAAUUUUCAAUAUUUGGAAGCUUAAAAAUGAGAGCGCCCAGGUGCCCGAGACAUAGUCAAAAGAAGUGCGAGUUUCUCAAAAAAAAAAACUUUUUCAUUGUUUUGAAAAAAGGGUGCAUCUCUUAUGCAACAGCAUCUCAUAGGUGCUUAUAUACGGUACAUGCACAAUCAUCUCCGUAGGAAUUGUUUAUUGCUCGUGGCUUGCCCGUUGGCAUCCCUCUCUGAAAUGCCGAUAUCCUUCCUUUCUCCUAAGUCAGGGGCUGGCCUUCUGUGCUUUCUCAAGAGGCGAGUGUCCCCCGCUCUCGUCUGAUCUGCUCUCCUGACGGAGUGGCCAACAGUCAGGGAGAUGGGGCGUCCUCCCUCAUCACCAGCCAGUGUCCAAGCAGCUUUCUCGCAGGGUCCUGCAGGGACUGAAAAGCCCCAGAUCUUUGCUGCUUUGCCACUCCACUUACCAGCUCCUAACCUUUUAGGCCACCAGGCUGGGUUGCAUGGGGCUCCCAGGCUCCUGAGAUCAACCAGCAGGAUUCUGAUAUCAGCCUCGAGCUGCUUGGCUUCAGCAAGCCAUGGUUCAGACAGCCUGGGGUGACCCGCCACGCCGAGUAAAGAAAGGUGAAGGCAGGAAAGCUCCCUGGUUUCCUUAGGGUGUUCCCUCAGCCCCUCUGCUAAACCGUAGGAGAGUCUGGGCUUCCGCUGAACACACUCACGUUUCCUGCCAUUCUACGCUUUCCCUUCAUCCCCUAAGACUUCCUGUUCCUCAACCCCGCUCCCGGCUCCCAGCUGCAUUUCCAUUUUCUCUAGAGAAAAGGGCUGAAUUGCGUUCCUUUCAUGCUCUCGUCAUACCCCUGCAGCAGCCAGACCUGAUCCGUCUCCAAGGGAUCCGGCUCUUUCCUGCUUCUUAAAGAGCCGCCCAUCAUUGCACAGGCUUAGUUCGUGGGGAGAGGGCCUGCCGAUUGGUCAAGGAUCCUUGGCCCUCAAUGUCCAGAGACAAUUCCACUGCUGAGACCUCUGCCUUUUGGCGUCCCAGUGCAUUCCAGCUACAUGGUGUUGGCCAUGAAGUAUGCCAGCCGAUGAAGGGUCAGCUGGGCCCUUCCACACCAAGAGUGGCUGCAUUUGAGUGGCAGGUGGAAUAGCUCUGGCCUAGAAAGGGUGCAUCCCAGCUGGGAUGAAAGGUCCUAAAGGAGAAUGAGAUACCACCCCCGUUGAUGUUCAUAUUCCCGGGGCAGAGAGAGAGGCACACAGAGCCAGGGAAACAAAGUAACAUCGCCCAGGAAAUGUGAGCGGCCGCUGGCAUGUGGAAGCCCUGGUUGCUGUCAGAGAAGAGUGACCCACAGAGUGAGGCUGUCACUGGCAAGAAGAGAUGGAGCUGAAAACUGAGCAGGUUCACAAAAUGACCGUACCCCCAUCUUUGGAGAAGAGGAUCCCCUUUCUUCCAUGCCCUUCCUUCCCUCUCUUUCCAACUGCUAAAGGGCUUGACGGAGCAGCUUGUCACUCCCGCUGCGGCCCAAAGGUGGAAUGAGGAAGAGGAAUGGCUUCAAUUGCAGAAGGAGGAGGAUGAAAAAGCAGGCCUCACUUUAUGGUUGAUGGGAAGCUCUUUUGAAAGGGUAACACAGAGACAGAGUGGUGAUGGAAAACCAGGUCGGGGAGGAUCCUUGGGGGAUCAGUCUGUGGCCGGGUGGAGGUCAUCUCAGCUGUUUUCUCUCUCUCUCACACUCUCAUGCUUGCUCUUUCUCUCUUUCUCUGUAAUGCAGACUCUCAGGCCUGAACUCAGACUCCUGAGACUAGGUCGGUUACUUCACCUGGACCCCACUCAGACUUGGUGGGCUGAGUUUAAGCCUCACGUGAGCGAUGCUGCUGUAUGGGGGAGGCAUGGGGAGGGAGAGGGGAAAGGGCUACAUGAAAUGUCUGGGCCACAUGAGGAAUUGCACAGUUAAUGUUUCCCCCCACAGCUGCUGAGCUGGAUCAAGUGUGUACUGAGCAGGGGAACGACUGCACAGAAUCCGUACUCCCCUUUUCCUGAAAGGACUGUCAAAUCCAUAUCGCUUUCCAAAAAACCUUUUACCACGGA